GCACGCACGCACCUGGAGAUGCCGAUCCAUCCGGUGGCCGCAGCAACCACAAGACGCUGGCCUACCCAACCAACCAACGUGAGCAAACCUCCCCUCUCCACUCCCUCACCUCAAACGAAUCAAAUCCAACCCAACCCGACCGAAUCAAUCUUGUCGUUUCUUUUUUAAACCUACUGCAGUCCGGUUUCGGAUCUUGGGAGGCAGCAGCAGCUGCCCUCCGUAGAUCCUUUCGUCCGUGGCCUGGCUCUAGAUGAUGUGCUGCAAUCGCCUCGUCUCCACUCACUCUCCACCCUCAUCUACAACGAACCAAAUCCAACCCAAUCAGACAAUCUUGCAAAUCAAUAGCCCUACUCGAUUUUUUUUUACCUAAUAAUGCUGCGGUUUUGAAGCCAAACUAGACAGCAACAGCCUCCAGACCUGUUCAUGCGUGACCUGCUCUACAUGUGUGGCCUGGUUCUAAUUCGGUUUGGAUCAGUAUGGUGUCUGCCUUAUAGCUGAAUAAUUGGCUGCAAAUUCACAAGAGCGACUUGGAAAACGCCCAAGACAAGAAAAGAAAAAAAAACUCCUAGUAAGAUCAAUAUGGAGCGUGCCUUAUAUAUAGAUGAAUGAUUGGCUGCGGGAUUCAGGGCAGCGACUCGGACAACGCCGGAGGCAAGAAAGAUUCGUAGUAAGGGUGAAAACCCUAGCUACCUUUUUAUGGUGGCACAGACCAAAGCGGCAGCGAUGGCGAGGAUCCGCAGCUCUAGGUUCAGGAGAGUGACUUGCUCCACUCGGACUACACGGGAGACAAAAAUGAGUCGUAGUAAGGUUCAGAUCAUACCGGGGUUUAAUAGCACCAAGCCGGGCAUACCAGGAGGUGGUGAAAUCGAGUGGACCAGGACUCCACUUGUGCUUUCAGGUGAAGAAGAAAAGACCAAGUACUUCAUCCAUGCAGUUCUUUACCAGUAGAAGUUAAGUCCCAAGAUAAUUUACCCUCUACACAUCAAGAAGUAGGCUGAAAGGAUAGGACGUCAGAGCUGGGCGAAGGCAGCAACGCCAUUGGUUCGAGGCUGUAGUUCGUUGAGGCCCACUUGGACAAGCCGAUCCCUAAGGAGAACAAGGCAAGGAUAAAUAGGCUUCGCUAGCACGGUAUAUUGUAUCUCCUAUGAACACCCAAAUAUGGAUGGUGGCUUGGAGCUGGAAAAUGGGUCGCUGGGCUGCUGCGUAGUAUCUCAUAUGACGGACUUAGACUGCUGACAACCACCACAUUGCGAUGGUUCAGGAUUGGGCGCAGUGGUGCUGGAAGGGCCCACUGCUAGCAGCAGCAGUGAUGGCGCUGUGCAUGGAGGUCCUGGAGGGUGCCUUGGUACAUGACGGCGACUUGCUCCUCCACUAGGAUGCAUGCAGCUGCCACCUGGGACAAGAAUGAACAACUAGGUGAAGAAGAAAAGACCAAGUACUUCAUCCAUGCAGUUCUGUACCAGUAGUAGUUAAGUCCCAAGAUAAUUUACCCUCUCGACAUCAAGAAGUAGGCUGAAAGGAAAGGACGUCAGAGCUGGGCGAAGGCAGCAACGCCAUUGGUUUGAGGCUGAAGUUGGUUGAGGCCCACUUGGAGAAGCGGUGCUGCGAGUCAGCCAUCAUGCUGGUGCUCAAAUACGAGAGCACUAACAAGGGCGUUUUUGAUGCUCACAUGGCGGUGGUGAACCAGUUUGCGUGGGAGGGAGUGUUGGGAAGGAAAGAGUUCCUGGUGGAGGUGUAGAUGCAGAUGGUGCUCACCCACCCAAACCUUGUCAGCCUGGUCGAGAUGAGAGGUUGCUGUGUGAGAGUACAUGCAGUUCCGCAUCCAGGAGAGACAUCUUUUUUGGCGAGUUCUUCUCACAAGUCAGACCUGCUGUUUGUUCUAGUUCAUAUGUCUGCAAAUCAGUCCGGUUAUAGAGUUGGUGGAGGUGAACAUUUCUUGGUCUGUUUUCGUGAAGGUGAUGGCCGGACUUAGCUUAGGUUCCACUUAAAGAAGUGUUAGUCGCAGGGACCUGGUGCAUGAAGUGGCAGACUGCUGUAGUGCUUCCGAAGGGGAAUCCGUUCAACUGUUGUGUCCGUUUUGGUUGAUACUACCAAAUCCUUAUGGCGGGAUGGUGCGUCUCCAUGCAAUGAGAUCUGUAUUAUCAUUAUUACUGAGUGACGGAAUUUAUUCUUUAGAUUCAUUUCAUAUGUGCAUUACUAGAACUUGUUAUGUUUGCCCAUUCUGUGAUUUCCCUACAUGAAUAUAUCUAAGGUCUACCAUGAGUAUCGAUGGUGUGUUGCACAGGGAACAACAAGCGCAUUUUCUUUGGAGUGACCAUGACAUGAAUUCUGUAUGUUUUUUUUUCCAUUCCAGCAAACUUUUACUUGCCCAAAAUUCUUAUGAUGAUUGAAUGACUUGUAUUUACUGCAGUAUCAUAUCAUAAUUAUCAUUUUCGCACACAUUGCUGUUCAUGCAUGGCCUAUCCUAGCUGUUCAUUGUUGUUCAUGCCUGGCCUAUCCUAGCAAGUCUUGUAUGUUUGUAGGAGUAAUUGUUUCAUGUGAUGUAGGUGGAGGUGAACCUUUAUUGGUAUGUGUUUCAUGCAGGUGAUGGUUCGACAAGCCGAGCUUCAAGAAGCGGUAGUCGCUGGGACCUGGUACAUGGAGCGGCAGACUGGUGUAGCUCUUCCAAAUGGAAGAAGUCUAGCUACUGUGUCCAUUUUGGUUGAUACUACCGAAUCGUGUCGGAGGAUGCAAAAUUGAAUUUUAUGCAUGGCCUAUCAGGACCGCGACCAGAGAAGCAUAGGGCGGUGAUGGGUGAAGAGAAUGGUAGCUAGGGCUUGAUGCUAGUUUGAUCCGUUUGUAGCUCUGGAAUUACAUUACUUUAUGGAUUUAGCUAAGCUGUUGUUAGUUGUCUCAUGAGCUGGGUUGUGGGCGUGAGGAUGAUAUAACUGGGGAUGAGUUGGGUCGUGGGUGUUUUUUGAUGUGCAUAUGCAAUCAUGGGCAGUGAGUCAAUGAAAUGUAUAUGCUGAUGCUCAUAUCUAUACAAUAUUUGUGGUCUCAUUUCGCUCA